rnacentral:rRNA from 1 species
GAGCAACCCAGAGAACUGAAACAUCUAAGUACCUGGAGGAAGAGAAAAUAAUAAUGAUUUCCGUAGUAGUGGCGAACGAACUGGAAAGAGCCCAAACCAACAAUGUUCCGGCAUUGUUGGGGUUGUAGGACCAUAACAUCGAGAAAAUAUUUGAACUGGAAUCAGCUGGAAAGCUGAAUCGCAGAGGGUGAUAAUCCCGUACAGGUAAGAAUAUUGAUCGUAUUGGUAUCCUGAGUAGCACGGAACAUGUGAAAUUCUGUGUGAAUCUGCCAGAACCAUCUGGUAAGGCUAAAUACUCCCAAAAGACCGAUAGCGAACAAGUACCGUGAGGGAAAGGUGAAAAGUAUCCUGAAUAAGGAGGUGAAAAAGUACCUGAAACCGUGCGCCUACAAGCGGUCGGAGCCUACGGGUGACGGCGUGCCUUUUGCAUAAUGAGCCUACGAGUUACUCUUCAUUGGCAAGGUUAAGAUUUUAAGAAUCGGAGCCGAAGCGAAAGCGAGUUUUAAAAAGCGUAUAGUCAAUGGAGGUAGACGCGAAACCUUGUGAUCUACCCAUGAGCAGGUUGAAGCCGCGGUAACACGUGGUGGAGGACCGAACCAGUUGACGUUGAAAAGUCUUUGGAUGACUUGUGGGUAGGG